rnacentral:lncRNA from 1 species
CUAUUUUUUAAAUAUAGAGGUCCUUCUCUAUAAGUGUUUAAAAAUCCCUGCACCAGGUCAAUUGCCUCCUCUUUCAAGUAAGAUGAUGGAGGUUCACCAAGUUGAAGUGACAGCUCACAGCUACACGGCCAGUGAAUGUGGCCAUGAGAAUGGAACCUGGUCUCUAAAUCCUUACCUGGACACCUGCUAUCACUUGCUGGCACACAGCUCACAGGCAGUGGCAGAUGCCCUGUGGGAGUGAAUGCCAUUUAGGUAGUUCAUUUCAGAAACUUAUUGAUGGACAGAAAGCAAUCACGACCAUUAGAAAAGGUUAUUUCUGUUUUUCAUCUGUUUGCUUUUAUAUGUAUGUGUGUAUAUAUAUAGUGUGUGUGUGUGUAUAUAUAUAUAUAUAAAUAUAAACACAAACCAUCUUUUCUUCCUUAAUGUAAGAAAUGCAGUCGAUUUCCUUAAUCCAGCAAGAUACAUUCUUGGGGAGACUAUGAGUGACCCUACUGAUUUUGGUCAUCUCUAAAUUUGAACCUUCUUUCAUCACUAUAUUUUCCAAGUUAACCUUUCAAACAGUCAAAGAUAUGAUGGAUGUUAAGGUUGGAAGGGACCUAAAACAAUAUUUUAAAUUGUGCAGUUGAGAAAAGCAAGGUCCAGAAAUGUUAACUGAUUUCCAAAGGUCAGACUACUGGGCCAGAGUUUAGGUCCUGUUCAUAUGGAUCAAGAGCUGGUUUCUGAAUUUUUGAA